rnacentral:rRNA from 1 species
AAUGAACGCUGGCGGCGCGCCUAAUACAUGCAAGUCGAGCGAGAAGACGUAGCAAUACGUUUGUAAAGCGGCGAACGGGCGAGGAAUACAUGGGUAACCUACCCUAGAGUGGGGAAUAACUAGCCGAAAGGUUAGCUAAUACCGCGUACGCUCCUUGGACUUCGGUUCAGGGAGGAAAGCGAUGCCGAGGGUAUCGCGCUCUUGGAUGGGCUCAUGUCCUAUCAGCUUGUUGGGAGGUAACGGCUCACCAAGGCUUCGACGGGUAGCUGGUCUGAGAGGACGAUCAGCCACACUGGCACUGCGACACGGGCCAGACUCCUACGGGAGGCAGCAGUAAGGAAUAUUGCGCAAUGGGCGAAAGCCUGACGCAGCGACGCCGCGUGGGGGA